CAGAUUAGCAGAGUAAAGUUAUAUUUAAUUUCAACUCAAAGUAUGACAUAAAUACCUGCGAUUCUACACUGAUACAAGUGAGUCAAUCAGUUAAUAAAUGGAAGAAAAUUCCAAAUAAAUCAUUUAAAUGCUGCACCCUCAAGUUGGUGAGAACUUGAGAACUCUCCACCCCUUGUGCAUGACUGCACAGCAAGACUUUCCUCCUGAGAAGGGACAAGUCACUGUAGCUGGAAACCGGACACACCCAGACGGAGAUGGGGCACGGCACCUGUGUGUUCCCUUGAUGGGAGGUAGUAUGGAGGCACUUGGCCUUUGGUGUUCCUCCCAAACCACAGCCCCAGUCCAACCCUGAGAGAAACACCAGUCAAAACCCAGUUCAGGGGCCGCACAGUGCACCCUUGGAACCACCCAGAUGUCUAGUCAUGGAGAGCAAGAAACUGUCGCAGCCAAGAGGAACCCCAGGCCCACAUCUAUGUUCAGUGGGGUCCAGAAUGGGGUCUAGGAUGGAAAAAGGACAGGAGGAAAAACCAAAGCUUUCUUCCCUGUGUGUAGAUAUAAGCCGGACUGGAGCCCUUGUGCAUGGGUGCUUCUGGGAACAUUCCUCUGCUUCUUUCCCUGCUUCUGCCCACCUUAUGCCUGCUGCAGAGGACUUUGUGGGAAGGACUGAGGGAAGGGCCAGAUCUCUAGAUUGCAGGAAGACUGGACAGUGUUCCAAAUGUACCGUGGGAGCUUCUGCCAAUUCCUUGCACAUGCUGUAGCUGCUGUGGGCCCAGACCCAUGCAUGUGGUGGGAGUGUCUCCCUCUAGGAGUUUGCUCUUGGUGCUUGGUGAUCAGCUGUAAGCAGAGCAGCCAUGAGGAAGUGUUUCUGAUGUUUCUGUUUAGCACUGGCCUGUGGUGGCAGUGGUCCCACCUGGCAGACCUGCCCAGGGCAAGUAUAGGGCCUUCUCAGUGCUCCAGGAGCCAGUCAAGCCUUUGUGCAGACACCUGGAGAAGUAACAGCCUGUGUCCACACUGCCUGUCUGUCCUGGUAUGAGGGUGCUUGCUGGGAGGGACCCCAGCUUGCCUCCUGGUUUCCUGUACUGAGAUGAGGCCAGGGCUGCCAUCUGUCUCCUCGAUGCGAAACUCAGGGCCUCUCUGGCAGGCUCUUCCCAGGUCCCUCCUCCUGGCCCUGCUCAGCAGCCCUGCUCAGCAGCUCCGCCCAGCAGCUCUGCAUAGCAAUUCUGCCACUCCUGAGUCUGGCCAGUUCCGGGCCCUGUUCUGUGGAGGGAGCAGCUGUUUUUCUCUGCAGUCGUCCUCAUUGGCCCAGAUUGAGGGCGGAGGGCACUUCCGAGCAAGGGAGCCAGGGACGGAACCGAGCAGCCGGCCUGGGCUGGCCCCUACUCACCAGCUCAGCAGUACCCCCAUCAUGUUUGGGGAUCACUGUGGUCUCCCCACAGACAGAGCUCUGCUCGGCCAGCCCCCUAAAACUGGAUUCUGCUACAAAAUGGUGCUUCAGGCAGUCAGCAAAGUACUCAGCGGUGCUGCCCACAGAAGGAAGCAAGACACCAGUACCCAGCCCAGGACCCCGUGGUGUCACAGAGGGAGCCAGAGUGGGAAGUCGGCCUCAGUCUGGAAAGCUCCACUUGCGGGUGCAUGGCAGAACUGUUCACAGGGCAGUUCCCCUGGGCAGGCCCCGAGAGCAAGACCCAAGGGCCGGGGGGUGCCUGGUUCCUCGAGGAGGCUUUGCCUGCUGCUCACAGAGCAUGAAGUGGAUCAGAAGCUGGUCUGGGAUCCUGGUGCGCCCUCCCCCCUCUUGCAGUCUGCCCUGCCAUGCAGUAUGGCCCCUCCGGAGGAAGACUGGGCUCAGCCCAUGUGGCUGUCCAGGAAAUCUAAAGCAAAGCCCAAUGGCAAGAAGCCUGCUGGGGAAGAGAAGAAGGUGUACCUGGAGCCAGAGCAUACUAAAUCCAGGAUCACCGACUUUGAGUUCAAGGAGCUGGUGAUGCUGCCCCGGGAGAUUGACCUCAAUGAGUGGCUGGCCAGUAACACAACAACAUUUUUCCACCACAUCAACCUGCAGUAUAGCACAAUCUCAGAAUUUUGCACAGGAGAGACAUGUCAGACGAUGGCCGUGUGCAACACUACUACUGGCAUGACGAGAGGGGGAAGAAGGUCAAGUGCACAGCCCCCCAGUAUGUCGACUUUGUCAUGAGCUCUGUGCAGAAACUGGUGACCGAUGAAGAUGUGUUCCCCACAAAAUACGGCCGAGAGUUUCCCAGCUCCUUCGAGGCCCUGGUGAAGAAGAUCUGCAGGCAC